rnacentral:tRNA from 1 species
GGGGAUUUAGCUCAGUGGUAGAGCACUUGCCUACCAAGUACAAGGCCCUGGGUUCGGUCCCCAGCUCCA